ensembl:lncRNA
CAUGUUUUAUUAAUGGGUGUAAUAGGUCAAAGCAAUAAUGGCAAUACUCGCAGAACUAAUUUUACAUUCAGUGAGAACAUAUCUCUAAGUUUCACUUUCCUUUACAUGGAAAUGCACUUGAGCACAUUUGAAAAGGUUGGGCAGUAAGAUAAUGUGGGGGUGGUUCCAGUGCUAGAGAGGAAAAGGAAAAGACUGUGUGUCUCUCUUCAUUUUGGAGGACCUGCCCUGGACGUUAUCUACAGUGUUCUGGUGAAACACGAGACUUGGUGUAAAUAAGCAGAUCUUCAUAACGAUAAUGGCAGUCGAGGAGGUGGAUGACGAAACCGACGACGAUGAUAACGAUGACAGACUAUAAGGAAGUUGGCUGGAGGUCUGCUGCCAAGGGUGGACCACAGGAGCUGAACCAAUAGAAGAACAGCGUACGUGUGCGAGAGCGACGUGUCGCUUGGUUGAGCUGUGCGUCCAUGUGAAACCUCGUUGGUGAAUUUCACAACGUAUGCACGUUACCCGUGAACUACUUUGCUUGGUGAAGAGCUUUAUUGCAUAUAGAAAUCUAUGGUAUGUUUACCACUACUACGUCUUUGAAUGAUCUUUUUCUUGUUGUUGUUGUUGUGUUGUGUGAUGUCACUAUGGAGUAAUACUAUAUACAUAAAUAUGUCUCACUGUAUUUCUGAAAAGUCAUGAUCACGUUCCUGAAGCCUAGACAAUGAAACAGAAUUAUUUCCGAGAUACAAGUACUUAUUUAUGACAAGUCAAGUGAAUACAGAACAUGAUGUAUAUGUGUAUCAUCACUGUAUAUGUGUAUUAUUCCUGCAUACAUAUUGUUUUUCCAUAUUUUACUUGGUUGUGUGACUGGGGCCAUGCCAGGCUGGUUGGUCUGAUUGGUGGAAGUGUGCACUUUAAAUCAGGAAGGAACCAUCACGUUCUUGAUGCGUAACCUUUCACUAAAUCUUCAUACACUCUACGAAACUCUCACAGCACAGAAGGGGAAUAAAUCCCUUCCUGUUUUAAAGUGCAUGCUUGGAAUGUAGUCUGUUGUUUUGAAUGCCAGUCUGGGUGGAGUCACACAGAAACACCCCACAUUCUUUCCAUUGUUUUUUUUUUUUUUUAUUUCCUUUAAUCUGACCCCUUCAUUUAGAUUUGAACAGAACGGACGUGGAGGGUUACUGAAUAAACCGCAGCUUUCCUUGAAACUCUUCGUGUGGCGUGCUUCCCUUAAAACAAACCAUCCUGGCUUCACUGAUGACAAUAAACAUAAUAAAAUGACCCGAUGAAGAUAUCGAUAGUUUAGGUCGAAGUAAACGUUCAAAAAGCACCAAAGUCUACCUGGUUUCAUUUGAUAAGAUGUCUAUAAUAUGUCACAUUUAUCGACAAGAAUCAGUAACAAAAGUUUCAGUUGACUAAAAGUACAUAACAAUACUGUGGGGUCCUGGGAUAAAGAAUUUAAUGGACACGUGACAGAGGACGAUGAACCUGAAAGUAGGAAAGCUAAAAAGUUUGGAACGCAAAAUGUACUCAUGAUCCAAAGCAGACCACCACUACCUUUGAAAGACUGUGGUGUGAGUAUGUAGAACUGUUUAAAAAAAAAAAUUAAAAUUAAUAAUUUGCCUGGGAAUAAUGAGCCAAAACAACAUUACUUACUAACUAAAUUACAACGAAUGGGAAACUAAUCCAACCUGUUCAGGUGUAGAGAAUGGCAUUUCCACAUAAACAAAAGCAAAAGUAAGUAAAUGGUAAAUGGCACACUUAUAUAGCGCUUUUAUCCAAAGUGCUUUACACCCUCAUUCACCCAUUCACACACACACUCACACACCAGUGGUAGCAGAGCUUCCACGAAAGGCGCUAACUUGCCAUCGGGAGCAACUCGGGGUUCAGUGUCUUGCCCAAGGACACUUCGGCAUGUGGAGUCAUGAGGGACGGGAAUCGAAACGCCAACCCUACGAUUAGUGGACAACCCGCUCUACCACCUGAUCCACAGCCGCCCACAUUUGACUCGGUUGUGUGAUGGAGCCAUCAGAGACAUGCUGGUCUGGUUGUGAUGAUGAUGGGAAGUGUGCACUUUAAAACAGGAAGGAGUUUGCAUUACUAGUAUGUUCCAUUUUCUCAGGUUUUAUUGUCAUCUUUAGCCAUUUAUGGAGUCUUCGUCCCCCCCCACAGUUUCCAGACACAGUAGUGUUUGAAACACAACUGCUUUAAAGUGUAUGCUUACAGUGUGGCUUGAAUAUUUGAAUGACAGUCUUGAUGGAAGUCACGUGUGAAAAUCCCAUUCAAUCUUUCAUUUUUCCUUUCGUUUCUAGAAAUUUCUACACAGCCUGACACCACGAUAAAGUCCAGCAUGGCUGCUACAUCUUCUUUCAUCAGACCUAUGGAUCUCUCCAUCUCCUUCGGAGUUAACCUUGGCCUACUGGAUGCUUGUCAGACUGAUGCCUUCAUUAGUGCAUACUUUUGGUGGAUGGCCUCGAAGGUAUGUUCUCUAACAAAUCUCCGUGGCCCUCCAGGAACAGGCGUGCUUUGUCAUGUUGCACUAGAGCUAAUCGAGAGGAUUCACAGCAAUGAGGUGAAUGCGCAUGCGAUCACACCUUUUAAGUUUUUUGUUUGUUUGUUUUUUUGUUCUCUUCCACCCACAAUAUAAUGGAAUAUUUUUGUGUAGAUUCAUGACAUUAAAUUCUAUAAAGACCAUUUCAGUUCCAAGUUUGG